GGUGGGCCCCCAGUCCAAUGGCAGGUGUCCUGAUAAAAGACACAUGGAGGAGAGACAAGGCACAAAGAAGAGGAGAAGGAAAUGUGACCACAGAGGCAGAGAACAGAGUGAUACACCUGCAAGUCCAGGAAACCACCAGAUGCCAGGAGAGGCGAGGAACAGAAUCUCCCCUAGAGCCUCUGCAGGGAGUGCAACCCUGCUUUCUCCUUAUUUCCAACUUCUGGCCUUCAGAACUGUAAGAACUGUUAUUUCAAGCUGCCCAUAUUGUGGUAAUCAUUUCCUCUGAUAUAAGUAAAUAUAAGUAAAAGACAGUACCGGCGUCCAAUCUGAUCCCAAGGUCUGGGAAGUCAUACGGUCCAACAGAUGCGCACAUCUUGCUAGAGUUACCAACAGUCUUCAGUCUACAGAGGUAAAAACAUUAAUUUACAUUUGGAGCACAGUCUUGUUCUGAUCCAGAACGAUGCUCUGCGAAGAGCCAGAAGUGCCACCGCCUUGGCAGGGGCCCUGAGCUCAGUCUGGCUAUUACAAGAUACUGGAUAUAGUUCCAUGUGCUAUACAGCACUUUUUGGGAAGACUUGUGAUAUAUAGAGGAAAAGAAAAGAGGUGCUUGGAAGGGCUUGCAGCCUCGUAACUUAAAGAGCUAAGCACUUUGCCUGCUGCUCUGACUUGGCACCAGGAGGGAUGGGGAGGGGCAACCUGGUUUCUUUCCACGUUUGCCCCAUGCCCGCCCUUCUGCGUAGAGGAAGUGACAAAUGGGGCCAAGAAACAAACAGAGGAUUGAACUUAAGAAGGAAAACACAGGAGGCCUCAUUCAACCCAGAAGUCUUAAAGAAGCAGCAGAAAAGGUCUAGAAGGCACAGGGAUGAAAAACAAACUUCUGGAAUGAGGCCCCCAGUGUUUACUGCAUCCAGCCUGCUACAUCCACUUUGUCCACACUAGCCAAAGUCAAAGCCGAAAUGAUCUGGAUGCUCUGUCCAUGCUGCUCUAGGUUCACCACCUCAUUUUCUCCAGACAACAUCUGAUGAGAUAUUGCAAGUUUCCUACCUUUAUUGGUGAGGAAACAGAGACUCAGAGAGGUUCAACAACUUGUUCAAUCUAUACCACAGUACAAGUGACAGCUUUGGGAUCUGAACUCAGGUAGGAAGAAAAUUGGCCCCAAUUUCUUUACAGAUGUGAUAUCUUUUCUACAAUGAUUUGAGGACCUUCUUUUGCAUCUACUACAUGUCUGGGAUGGACUCCUCAAAGCAGAAUUACUGCAUGUGGUUGGCAGAAUCAUGGUUCUCCCAAAUGGACCCCCACAUCCUAAAUCCCUGGAACCUAUGAAUAUGUUAUGUUACAUGGCAAGGGGGAGUCAGUUUGCACAUGGGAACUGAGGUUGCAAAUCAGAUGGCUUUGAGAUGGAGAGAUUAUCCUGGAUUAUCUAGGUAGACCCAAUGUAAUCACUAGGGUCUUACAAGUGAAAGAGGAGGACAGGACAAUAGUGUCAGAGUGGUGCGUUGUGAGAAGGAUUCAACCAGCCAUUGCUGGCUUUGAAGAUGGAAGGGGCCAUGAGCCAAGGAAUGUGGGUCAUCUUAAGAAGCUGGAAAAGGCAAGGGAAUAGAUCUUCCCCCAGAACCUCCAAAAGGAAUGCAGUUCUGCCAAAACCUUGAUUUCAGCCCAGUGAGACUCAUUUCAGACUUCUGGCCUCCCAACUGCAAGGGUAAAGCAGGAAAGGAUGUGCUAGUCAGAAGGCUUGUAGUCUGGUUCCAUUCAAAGUUUUCAUAUUGAAGGAGUGAAAGAAUCAGAGUGAUGAUAUAUGACUUUUC